rnacentral:rRNA from 1 species
AUUGAACGCUGGCGGCAUGCCUUACACAUGCAAGUCGAACGGCAGCGGGGGAGAAGCUUGCUUUUCCUGCCGGCGAGUGGCGAACGGGUGAGUAAUACAUCGGAACGUGCCCUGUAGUGGGGGAUAACUAGUCGAAAGAUUAGCUAAUACCGCAUACGACCUGAGGGUGAAAGUGGGGGACCGCAAGGCCUCAUGCUAUAGGAGCGGCCGAUGUCUGAUUAGCUAGUUGGUGGGGUAAAGGCCUACCAAGGCGACGAUCAGUAGCUGGUCUGAGAGGACGAUCAGCCACACUGGGACUGAGACACGGCCCAGACUCCUACGGGAGGCAGCAGUGGGGAAUUUUGGACAAUGGGCGAAAGCCUGAUCCAGCAAUGCCGCGUGUGUGAAGAAGGCCUUCGGGUUGUAAAGCACUUUUGUCCAGAACGAAAAGGCUCUGGUUAAUACCUAGGGCUCAUGACGGUACUGUAAGAAUAAGCACCGGCUAACUACGUGCCAGCCGCCGCCGUAA